UACGUAGGGCGCAAGCGUUGUCCGGAAUUAUUGGGCGUAAAGAGCUCGUAGGCGGUUCGUCGCGUCGGCUGUGAAAUCCCGGAGCUCAACUCCGGGUCUGCAGUCGAUACGGGCGGACUCGAGUUCGGCAGGGGAGACUGGAAUUCCUGGUGUAGCGGUGAAAUGCGCAGAUAUCAGGAGGAACACCGGUGGCGAAGGCGGGUCUCUGGGCCGAUACUGACGCUGAGGAGCGAAAGCGUGGGGAGCGAACAGG
rnacentral:rRNA from 1 species